rnacentral:tRNA from 1 species
GCGUUGGUGGUGUAAUAGUUGCCUUGGAAGCAGUUGAUCCAGGUUCAAUUCCCGGCCAUUGCA